rnacentral:tRNA from 1 species
GGAGGGAUACCCAAGUGGCUAAAGGGGGCAGACUGUAAAUCUGUUGGCAUUUGCCUUCGCUGGUUCGAAUCCAUCUCCCUCCA